GGGACCCACGAGAUCUGCGCCCGAGGCGGAUACUUGUCUAGCGGGCUCGGGUCAGCCCAACCCCCUACGCUUGGGGUCGGGCGAGGUGGAGUCCUGCGGCGGGGGGUCGGACGCUCCCGUCUCCGGACCUGCAGUCGGGCGAGGCGGAGCUUGGUCUUCCGGAGGUUGGCGAUGCCUGACUCCGGGAUACGGGGUCGGGCGAGGCGGAGCGUGAUUCUCGGCCCCCGUGUUGGGCCGGCGCCAAUCUUAUUACCUUAGGUGGGCCUGGGCCUUUACGUUUUGUUGUUUCCAUGGGCCUGGGGAGAUCGUUAAUAUUUCCGCCCAACACAAACCUUAUAAGAAAGUUUUAGUGCUAC
rnacentral:lncRNA from 1 species